rnacentral:rRNA from 1 species
ACUGUGCAAAGGUAGCAUAAUCAUUAGUUUUUUAAUUGGAAGCUUGUAUGAAUGGCUGGACGAGGCACUAGCUGUUUCAUAUUAAAUAUUAGAAUUUUAUUUUUUGGUUAGAAAGCCUAAAUUUUUUUGAAAGACGAGAAGACCCUAUAGAUCUUUAUAAUUUUUUUUUAUUAUUAUUCAUUAAGGUUGAUUAGAUAAUUAUAUUUUAGAUUAUUUUGUUGGGGUGAUAUAGAGAUUUGUUAAACUUUCUUUAAUUUUUUUACAUUUAUGAGUGGUUUUGUUUGAUCCUUUAUUUUAAGAUUAUAAAAUUAAGUUACCUUAGGGAUAACAGCGUAAUUUUUUCGGAGAGUUCAUAUCGAUGNNNNNGAUUGCGACCUCGAUGUUGGAUUAA